rnacentral:lncRNA from 1 species
UUUUCCCCUUCCCUCAAUCGUCAUUUUAUCUCCGUUGAUGUCACUUUUGAUGAAUCUUCGUUUUAUUUUUCACAUCUAUCUUCUAGUUCUGUACCUCCACCUACUACUAUUGAUAUUCCUAUUGUUUGUGAUCCUUCUCCUCCUUUAGACUCUCAUUCCCCACAGGAUCGUCCUUCAACUCUACCUCUUAAGGUUUAUAGUCGCCGCAAUUGUCUCCCUCAUGACUCACCUCCUAUGCCACCUC